UUAAAUAUGAAGUGUUCAGGUGUCGGAGCAAUCAACUGCGAUUGGCUCCGGUGAAAAGGGAAACAGGUGCAAAUCCUGUACGAACUCGUCACCGUGAUAGGGAGCAGGAGCCGCAAAAUCACUGGGAAACUGGGAAGAUGGCCGAUGCGAUGAUCUUAAGCCGGGAGACCUGCCUGAACGCUGUACAGAAAC
rnacentral:ncRNA from 21 species